rnacentral:rRNA from 1 species
CGGUGAAUACGUUCCCGGACCUUGCACACACCGCCCGUCAAGCCAUGGAAGUGGGGUGUACCUUAAGACGAUCACCGUAAGGAAUUGUCCAAGGUAAAACUCGUAACUGGGGCU